rnacentral:rRNA from 1 species
GCCUAAAACCUAGCCCUACCUAUACACAUGAAACCACUUAACAAUAACUACGAAACAAAACAUUUUUUAACCUAGUAAAGGCGAUUAAAAAGUAUGUAGGAGCCUUAGUACUAGUACCGCAAGGGAAAGGUGAAAUAAAACUGAAACAAAUUUAAAGCCUCACAAAGUAGAGAUUCCUCCUCGUACCUUUUGCAUCAUGGUCUGACUAGCACAACCAAGCAAAAUGAAUUUUCAGUUUGACCCCCCGAAACUAGACGAGCUACUUCAAAACAGCCUUCAUGGGCCAACCCAUCUCUGUUGCAAAAUAGUGGGAAGAUUUUCAAGUAGCGGUGAUAAACCUAUCGAGCCUAGAAAUAGCUGGUUAUUCAGGAAACGGAUGUAAGUCCAAUUUUAAACCUCUUAGUACACCAAAUACACCAACCGGUUUAAAUUUUAUUCAAAUAAGGUACAGCCUAUUUGAACCAGGAUACAACCUAUGCCAUAGGGUAAUGUCUUCGCCAUGUGACAAAGUAGGCCUAAGAGCAGCCACCUUUCAAAAAGCGUUACAGCUUAAUCACACCACAUUAUUAAUCUCGACCCAAAUCCAAAACCCACCUUCAAUACUGAAUGACUCCAUAUAAUUAUGGAAGACCUUAUGUUAGAACUAGUAACAAGAAUAUAUUCUCCUAAACGUAAGUGUAAGCUGGAACGAACCCUUCGCCGGCAUUUAUCGCUAAUGAAUUAAGAGUAGCAACCAUACAAGAAAACCCUACUUUUUACAGCGUUAACCUUACACUAGAACUUUCCUGGAAAGAUUAAAAAGGGGGGAAGGAACUCGGCAAAUAUUAACCCCGCCUGUUUACCAAAAACACCGCCUUCCGCAACUAAUAGAAGGUCCAGCCUGCCCAGUGACAAACUUAAACGGCCGCGGUAUUUUAACCGUGCAAAGGUAGCAUAAUCACUUGUUCUUUAAAUAAGGACUAGUAUGAACGGCACCACGAGGGUUCUACUGUCUCCCCCCCUUAAUCAGUGAAAUUAAUCCCCCCGUGAAGAAGCGGGGAUAGGCUUAUAAGACGAGAAGACCCCAUGGAGCUUUAAACUGAGUAUCACUUGCAUUCCACACAUCAAUAAAAUCCAGCAAACAUGCCUACCAGUUUUUGGUUGGGGCGACCACGGAGUAAAACAAAACCUCCAUGACGAAAGGAGCUAACCUCCUAAUCAAAGAGCCACAACUCAUAGAAUCAACAUAUUGACCUAAUUGACCCACACCCUGAGCAACGAACCAAGUUACCCUGGGGAUAACAGCGCAAUCCAUUUCAAGAGCUCCUAUCGACAAAUGGGUUUACGACCUCGAUGUUGGAUCAGGGUAUCCCAGUGGUGCAGCCGCUACUAAAGGUUCGUUGUCAACGAUAAAAC